rnacentral:lncRNA from 1 species
CUUCAUAUGAGAGAAAACUAAAGAACAAAAAAACUUAGAAUAUAUAGAGAAAAAAAAUUAGAGUCAAUGAGUUUUACUUUAAAUUUUCUAUUUCCAAAUUUCUUUUUGAAACUAACAUUUUGGUAGUACAUAUAUGGUUUAAAGGAUCUAUAGCUACAAAAUGCCCAAUUACAUUUGCAUAAGAGAAAAGAAAUGUUAUAUAAGGACAUUUUUCUAACUAGUCACACACACACACACACACACACACACACACACACACACACACACACAC